rnacentral:rRNA from 1 species
AUUGAACGCUGGCGGAAUGCUUUACACAUGCAAGUCGAGCGGCAGCGCGGGGCAACCUUGCGGCGAGCGGCGAACGGGUGAGUAAUACAUCGGAACGUGCCCAGACGUGGGGGAUAACUACUCGAAAGAGUGGCUAAUACCGCAUACGAUCUAAGGAUGAAAGCGGGGGAUCGCAAGACCUCGCGCGUUUGGAGCGGCCGAUGGCAGAUUAGGUAGUUGGUGGGGUAAAGGCUUACCAAGCCCGCGAUCUGUAGCUGGUCUGAGAGGAUGAUCAGCCACACUGGGACUGAGACACGGCCCAGACUCCUACGGGAGGCAGCAGUGGGGAAUUUUGGACAAUGGGCGAAAGGCCUGAUCCAGCCAUUCCGCGUGCAGGAUGAAGGCCCUCGGGUGUAAACUGCUUUGUACAGAACGAAAAGCUCUUCUAAUACAGAGAGUCCAUGACGGUACUGUAAGAAUAAGCACCGGCUAACUACGUGCCAGCAGCCGCGGUAA